CCCUGGCAACCAGCGAUCUAUUCUUUGUCUGCACUUGUGUCCUUUUGACGAUGUUGUCUGAGUGGAACCUGCCGUCUAUAACCUACGGAGACGGACUUUCCCACCAAACCCUGGAGACGUGUCCAGGCCGUUGUGCAAGCAGGGAUAAAACUGGCAUGGACAUUUGUGUAUGCGUGUGGAUGAACGCCGGCGACGGCAAGUGUUGGGCUCCAUGACACUUUGCACAUGGCAUUUGGGGCUUGGACUAAGGAUCCUCGAGUCCUGCCUGCCAUUCCUCUCAACCUGUUUUUCUCCCAAUGUGUGGUCCUCCCAUCCCUCCCAUCCAUGGCUCCCCGUGUCGUUCUCCUGGAUGGAUCGAUCCUUAGAACGCCUGUGUGUGACUUCCAAGAAGGACCAGAGCAUAGCCUUGCGCCAUGGGCUCCAGAAGUUUAUUCCGUCCCAUUCUGCCUGAUUCCUGACUGGACAUCUGGUAUCUAGCGACCCUCUCCCCUGUGCUGAGUGAGCAAGGCUGUGGUAGAGUAUGCCUUUCUGAAAUACGUGCAUGGAAGAUGCAUUGAUCUUCUAAUGUGGUUGGAUUCACAAUAGAAAUUGUGUGAUUCCUUGGAGGAAGGGUCUAGGUGCCAUUUGUAAAAGGCCUGAUUCCUGAGGUCACGCAGGAAAGCAGCUCGCUCACUCAGAAGCGUGACCCUUAUUG